rnacentral:rRNA from 2 species
UUAAGCGACUAAGCGUACACGGUGGAUGCCCUGGCAGUCAGAGGCGAUGAAGGACGUGCUAAUCUGCGAUAAGCGUCGGUAAGGUGAUAUGAACCGUUAUAACCGGCGAUUUCCGAAUGGGGAAACCCAGUGUGUUUCGACACACUAUCAUUAACUGAAUCCAUAGGUUAAUGAGGCGAACCGGGGGAACUGAAACAUCUAAGUACCCCGAGGAAAAGAAAUCAACCGAGAUUCCCCCAGUAGCGGCGAGCGAACGGGGAGGAGCCCAGAGCCUGAAUCAGUGUGUGUGUUAGUGGAAGCGUCUGGAAAGGCGCGCGAUACAGGGUGACAGCCCCGUACACAAAAAUGCACAUAUUGUGAGCUCGAUGAGUAGGGCGGGACACGUGGUAUCCUGUCUGAAUAUGGGGGGACCAUCCUCCAAGGCUAAAUACUCCUGACUGACCGAUAGUGAACCAGUACCGUGAGGGAAAGGCGAAAAGAACCCCGGCGAGGGGAGUGAAAAAGAACCUGAAACCGUGUACGUACAAGCAGUGGGAGCCUCUUAAUGGGGUGACUGCGUACCUUUUGUAUAAUGGGUCAGCGACUUAUAUUCUGUAGCAAGGUUAACCGAAUAGGGGAGCCGAAGGGAAACCGAGUCUUAACUGGGCGUUAAGUUGCAGGGUAUAGACCCGAAACCCGGUGAUCUAGCCAUGGGCAGGUUGAAGGUUGGGUAACACUAACUGGAGGACCGAACCGACUAAUGUUGAAAAAUUAGCGGAUGACUUGUGGCUGGGGGUGAAAGGCCAAUCAAACCGGGAGAUAGCUGGUUCUCCCCGAAAGCUAUUUAGGUAGCGCCUCGUGAAUUCAUCUCCGGGGGUAGAGCACUGUUUCGGCAAGGGGGUCAUCCCGACUUACCAACCCGAUGCAAACUGCGAAUACCGGAGAAUGUUAUCACGGGAGACACACGGCGGGUGCUAACGUCCGUCGUGAAGAGGGAAACAACCCAGACCGCCAGCUAAGGUCCCAAAGUCAUGGUUAAGUGGGAAACGAUGUGGGAAGGCCCAGACAGCCAGGAUGUUGGCUUAGAAGCAGCCAUCAUUUAAAGAAAGCGUAAUAGCUCACUGGUCGAGUCGGCCUGCGCGGAAGAUGUAACGGGGCUAAACCAUGCACCGAAGCUGCGGCAGCGACACUAUGUGUUGUUGGGUAGGGGAGCGUUCUGUAAGCCUGUGAAGGUGGCCUGUGAGGGUUGCUGGAGGUAUCAGAAGUGCGAAUGCUGACAUAAGUAACGAUAAAGCGGGUGAAAAGCCCGCUCGCCGGAAGACCAAGGGUUCCUGUCCAACGUUAAUCGGGGCAGGGUGAGUCGAUCCCUAAGGCGAGGCCGAAAGGCGUAGUCGAUGGGAAACAGGUUAAUAUUCCUGUACUUGGUGUUACUGCGAAGGGGGGACGGAGAAGGCUAUGUUGGCCGGGCGACGGUUGUCCCGGUUUAAGCGUGUAGGCUGGUUUUCCAGGCAAAUCCGGAAAAUCAAGGCUGAGGCGUGAUGACGAGGCACUACGGUGCUGAAGUGACAAAUGCCCUGCUUCCAGGAAAAGCCUCUAAGCAUCAGGUAACAUCAAAUCGUACCCCAAACCGACACAGGUGGUCAGGUAGAGAAUACCAAGGCGCUUGAGAGAACUCGGGUGAAGGAACUAGGCAAAAUGGUGCCGUAACUUCGGGAGAAGGCACGCUGAUAUGUAGGUGAAGCGACUUGCUCGUGGAGCUGAAAUCAGUCGAAGAUACCAGCUGGCUGCAACUGUUUAUUAAAAACACAGCACUGUGCAAACACGAAAGUGGACGUAUACGGUGUGACGCCUGCCCGGUGCCGGAAGGUUAAUUGAUGGGGUUAGCGGUAACGCGAAGCUCUUGAUCGAAGCCCCGGUAAACGGCGGCCGUAACUAUAACGGUCCUAAGGUAGCGAAAUUCCUUGUCGGGUAAGUUCCGACCUGCACGAAUGGCGUAAUGAUGGCCAGGCUGUCUCCACCCGAGACUCAGUGAAAUUGAACUCGCUGUGAAGAUGCAGUGUACCCGCGGCAAGACGGAAAGACCCCGUGAACCUUUACUAUAGCUUGACACUGAACAUUGAGCCUUGAUGUGUAGGAUAGGUGGGAGGCUUUGAAGUGUGGACGCCAGUCUGCAUGGAGCCGACCUUGAAAUACCACCCUUUAAUGUUUGAUGUUCUAACGUUGGCCCGUAAUCCGGGUUGCGGACAGUGUCUGGUGGGUAGUUUGACUGGGGCGGUCUCCUCCUAAAGAGUAACGGAGGAGCACGAAGGUUGGCUAAUCCUGGUCGGACAUCAGGAGGUUAGUGCAAUGGCAUAAGCCAGCUUGACUGCGAGCGUGACGGCGCGAGCAGGUGCGAAAGCAGGUCAUAGUGAUCCGGUGGUUCUGAAUGGAAGGGCCAUCGCUCAACGGAUAAAAGGUACUCCGGGGAUAACAGGCUGAUACCGCCCAAGAGUUCAUAUCGACGGCGGUGUUUGGCACCUCGAUGUCGGCUCAUCACAUCCUGGGGCUGAAGUAGGUCCCAAGGGUAUGGCUGUUCGCCAUUUAAAGUGGUACGCGAGCUGGGUUUAGAACGUCGUGAGACAGUUCGGUCCCUAUCUGCCGUGGGCGCUGGAGAACUGAGGGGGGCUGCUCCUAGUACGAGAGGACCGGAGUGGACGCAUCACUGGUGUUCGGGUUGUCAUGCCAAUGGCACUGCCCGGUAGCUAAAUGCGGAAGAGAUAAGUGCUGAAAGCAUCUAAGCACGAAACUUGCCCCGAGAUGAGUUCUCCCUGACUCCUUGAGAGUCCUGAAGGAACGUUGAAGACGACGACGUUGAUAGGCCGGGUGUGUAAGCGCAGCGAUGCGUUGAGCUAACCGGUACUAAUGAACCGUGAGGCUUAACCUU